AAUAAACUGAUGAGCAGGAGUAAGUAAGAUCUUUCCAUCAUGCACAGAGAGCUUCCGGUCGGUGGGAGGAAGCGUUGAUGUCUGAUCUGAAUGGACCUGCGAGGGCGGCUUGAAACCGGAUUCAUUUCGGAAGUAGGUGUCGACGGGUUUCCUAUCCGUUAUCAAGGGGAGGCACAUGUUGGUGUGCUGUUAAGCGGGAGAAGUCUAUCUUCUCCAAUCAGGGUGGUACCACGGAACCGGAACUUUCAGGCUUUCGUCCCUCUU
rnacentral:ncRNA from 1 species